GCUGAAUGUUGGCAACACUAGGCUUUGAAACAGGACAAAUCACCGCUCAUCAAAGGUAUAAACAACAGAUAUCCUGGGAAAGGCACACCCCCAGUAUUUUUCUCUGUGUCUACCUGUUCAACUGAAACGAUUUGCUAGCUAUAAAUCCAGUAGUUACAACCUUUAAUUUCCACAUUGCUACAUGUGAACAUGAACCACCAUCCUUCCAGCUGUCAAUAAUAUCUCUUUGACACCUAC
rnacentral:lncRNA from 1 species